rnacentral:rRNA from 1 species
AUGACGUCAAAUCAUCAUGCCCCUUAUGACCUGGGCUACACACGUGCUAUAAUGGGCGGUACAAAGGGUCGCGAACCCGCGACGGGGGAGCCAAUCCCAAAAAGCCGCUCUCAGUUCGGAUUGCAGGCUGCAACUCGCCUGCAUGAAGCCGGAAUCGCUAGUAAUCGCGGAUCAGCAUGCCGCGGUGAAUACGUUCCCGGGCCUU